UCUUCCAUAGUGUAGUGAUCAAUGUGUGAGCUUGUCAUCCAACAACGCUCGAGAUCUGGGUUCAAUUCCUGGUGGAAAGA